rnacentral:rRNA from 1 species
GACGUAGGACGCGAGCGUUGUCCGGAUUUAUUGGGCGUAAAGAGCUCGUAGGCGGCUUGUCGCGUCGGCCGUGAAAACCUGCGGCUCAACUGCAGGCUGGCGGUCGAUACGGGCAGGCUGGAGUUCGGUAGGGGAGACUGGAAUUCCUGGUGUAGCGGUGAAAUGCGCAGAUAUCAGGAGGAACACCGGUGGCGAAGGCGGGUCGCUGGGCCGAUACUGACGCUGAGGAGCGAAAGCGUGGGGAGCGAACAGG